rnacentral:rRNA from 1 species
CAAACGGGUGAGUAACACGUAAACAACCUGCCUUCAGGAUGGGGACAACAGACGGAAACGACUGCUAAUACCGAAUAAGUUCCAAGAGCCGCAUGGCCCAUGGAAGAAAAGGUGGCCUCUACUUGUAAGCUAUCGCCUGAAGAGGGGUUUGCGUCUGAUUAGCUGGUUGGAGGGGUAACGGCCCACCAAGGCGACGAUCGGUAGCCGGACUGAGAGGUUGAACGGCCACAUUGGGACUGAGACACGGCCCAGACUCCUACGGGAGGCAGCAUG